rnacentral:rRNA from 1 species
UACAGGGGGUGCAAACGUUGCUCGGAAUUAUUGGGCGUAAAGCGCGCGUAGGCGGCUACUUAUGUCGGAUGUGAAAGCCCCUGGCUCAACUGGGGAAGUGCACCCGAAACUGAGUAGCUGGAGUACAAAAGAGGGUCGCGGAAUUCCCGGUGUAGAGGUGAAAUUCGUAGAUAUCGGGAGGAACACCGGUGGCGAAGGCGGCGACCUGGGUCGAUACUGACGCUGAUGCGCGAAAGCGUGGGGAGCAAACAGG